rnacentral:rRNA from 1 species
ACUAAAUAGAUACCCGGGUAGUCCACGCCGUAAACGAUGCCUACUAGAUUGUGGCGGUUCUGACGCCGGCACAGUCGAAAGCCAAAAAGUGUUAAGUAGGCCGUCUGGGGAGUACGGUCGCAAGGCUAAAACUCAAAGGAAUUGACGGGGGCUCACACAAGCGGUGGAGCAUGUGGAUUAAUUCGAAGCAACGCGCAGAACCUUACCUAGGUUUGACAUGCUUGGAUGCUUGCCUGGAAACAGGUGGAGCUGCUCUUCGGAGUGAAACUUGCACAGGUGCUGCAUGGCUGUCGUCAGCUCGUGUCGUGAGAUGUCGGGUUAAGUCCCUUAACGAGCGAAACCCUUGCCGUUAGUUACCAGCGGGUCAUGCCGGGAACUCUAGCGGGACUGCCGGUGUUAAACCGGAGGAAGGUGGGGAUGACGUCAAGUCAUCAUGGCCUUUAUGCCUAGGGCAUCACACGUGCUACAAUGGUCGGUACAAAGCGACGCGAGACCGCGAGGUGGAGCUAAUCGCAAAAACGCCGGCCCCAGUUCGGAUUGC